UCUCCGUUGGUGAACCUGCGGAGGGAUCAUUACUGAGUUUACAACUCCCAAACCCUUUGUGAACACAUCUUGUUGCUUCGGGGGCGACCCUGCCGGCACUCUGUCGCCGGGCGCCCCCGAAGGUCUCCAAACACUGCAUCUUUGCGUCGGAGUUUGAAACAAAUUAAACAAAACUUUCAACAACGGAUCUCUUGGUUCUGGCAUCGAUGAAGAACGCAGC
rnacentral:misc_RNA from 1 species